UUUCCUGUAAAUUUAUUGUUGCUUUCUUAUUAUCUGUGAGAUUUCAUUGCUUUCAUAAGAUGAAGGGUAAGACAAAUUUGUUUUAUCUAGCAAAGCUCUUAUACUGACUUCUUCACUCUUUAUUCUUUACCAUGAAAUUUCGAUCGUGUCUAUGAUUGUAGAAAUAAGUUUGCUUGUGAUUUGGGAUUAUUUGGACUGUUGCAUUCCAUCACAGGAAAUUGGUUAGGCCUUCUAAUUCAUAACAAUUGAUGAUCUCAUUAAUUUAAUAUUAUUUUUGCUUAUGUUUUGUAAUUAUUAGUUGCUAAUUGAUAUGACAAGUCAGGUUGCUCAUAUUUUGUAAAGAAAGAAAAUCUAUUAUUACAUGAUUUAAAAUUUUGUUAUUAAGAAUAGAUAUUUGCCAUUGGUGUUCUUGCAUCUUGCUAAAAUUUUGAUAGAUUCAUUGAUCCAGGUAAAUAAUUCUCCUCAUCUCAUAAAAGUAACAAUUGCAAAAUUAUUUUGGCACUAUUUCACAUUCUUCUUCAUAAAUAUUUUAAUGAGUAUUAG